AUGUUAAGUUCAAAUAUUCAAGUAUUGCCAAACUCAUUCGAAUUUUUCAUUCAAGAUUUAACUUGUUUUACAAACACUUUGGAAAAAGUUCCCUCUAAGACUCAUUCUUCUUCAAUAUUCAAGCUCGCCAUAGCCUUGCGAUUUGUCCAUUUUUGCUCAAUCAUUAUGUUCAUGAAACAAGAACAAGAAAGCGUUAGAACACAAUCAAAACUUGAACAUAAACAAAUAAAUUUUCAGCAAGUUUCUUUUAAAGUUCAUCAUUAG